CUCAGAAAAUACACAACAUUACUUUGACCCAUCCACAAGUGUGAUGAGACAGUUGUUAUCAAUUAAAUACCUUUGGCCAAAAAUCUUGUGCAUUAACCCCUUUCUCACUGAGAAUUUGGAAACUCUGUUUCAGUCACUCUGUGUCUCUCAAUGGCUGUGGACAAAGACAAGCUUGAAGAAGACGCUUCCAUUGCCCGCUUCUACAAGAUUGUUCUUAGUUGGGACUUUUUCGUCCGCGAAAAAUCAACAUAGGAGACGCCACGGAAAGGUGUGUUGUGGAGUGCACUGAAGUUGAUCUGUUUCACUUAGCAGUUCUUACCUCUGCGAAUGACAUGGAUGACAAGAAAUCAGUAUCGCAAGAAUGAUAUUUUGCUUCUUUCAAAACAAAGUAUGAAAAGGAAACUCCAAGUCCAACAAUCUAUGCUUUUGCGGUGGUAGAAAGUCGUCAACUAAGUGGUUUUUGGAUUAGAAUGUAUCUGGAGAAGUUACAAAUUCGAAUCCAUAUGCAGUUAAAUCACGUUUAAGGCUGUUAAACAUGAAGUAUUUGGUAACUUCUAGUAGUGAACGAGACAGGUUCUUUUACACUUAUAAGAGAGCAAGUAGAACGCCUGAAACAACGUUUCAGAAGUACUUACGGUGUGGAGUUUGAGAAAUUAGUGGAGAGUACUACUGUUGAUGGUUGCCAGGUAGGGUGGCUAAUUCUUCUCUUGGUUUUCGGGUGGGUUCUAUUGGUUAAUAUACUAGAUUGACAUUUAUUUUCUGUUUAUAAUUGGCUAAUUCCGAGAUCAAUUUGGCUAAUUCUUCUCAUGGUUUUCGGGGUGAUCAAAAUAUUUCUUUUAUGCUUGGGCAGCUUCCGAGAUCAAUUUGUUCGGUGGAAUGUAAUCAUGUAAUAUGCAUCUAUUUGUCCAGACGUAGAAUAUCUCAUCUGGGUUGUUGAGAUGCAGGAUAUCUCAUUUGGAUUCAAUCCUCUUUCUAUAGAUAACGACGAAGCCCACUAGCAAGCAUGAUUAUGUACAGGAGGCUGACAGAAGAAUAUAUCAUUUAAAACUUCAUAAAAGAUGACGACAUUAUUUCAAUAUCAAUAAUGUAUAGAUGACGACAAACACCCGCAGGAGCCGGCCCUUUUGCCCGAGUGGGUCCCUCGCCAAUAAAAGACAUACAUAGGCUUGACUUGAUGUCAGUUUCCACCCCUGCUCUGCAUUAUGAGACGCUUGGGUCAUUCAGCUUGGACCAAGAUAAUUAUAAAGUCAAGUGUGUGUUUAUCGUAGGAUAAGCUUUUGAGGUAUUAUUGUAUCAAGUAUUUGAACACAUCAACACUAAUAGAGAGAAUUGGGCUUUUAGGAUUUAUUUAUUUAUGUAUUAGUGUAAUCCCAAGUUUAAAUGUUAGGUCGAGUCACUGCUUUUAUAUACACAUCUAAAAUUAUUCUCUCAUCGAGAUGUUACUCUUUAUAGAUAUUAAUUUGCUAGUUUCAACAUAUCCAAAGUAGAUAU